GUCUCUCUAGGAUCCUGGAAGACCCUGAGGCUUUACAUCAAUCAUAAGUAUCUCAUAGAAGGAACCAAAUGCAUCCAAUUGACAUUAGAAACCACAGAUAUUGUCCAGGACAGCUCAAAGCCAGAGACUCAUAAGAUUUGAGCCCUUUUACUUCAGUUACGACUCCUCCAAGAAUCAAUUUAAUGAAUGAGCACCUCCUCCAUGAAACUUUCUGAAAUUUACCUUUUGAGAUCCGGUGACUUCUUGUACGCUCUUAGUUCUUAUAUAUUUCUCCAUAUUGUCUUUAUCAAUGGGUUUUGUAACUGGAGUAAUAUGUAUAUUUGGUUUCUCUUGUUUCCUGCCUUUAGACGGUAAGCUUCUCAAGGUCAGGGACACUAUA